UCUAACCUGGCCCCACACUUGGAUGGCCUUUGUAACCAAUUAACGGCCAAUGAAUGAAGCUUCUUGUCAUUUUUGUUCCUUACAAUCCUUGACCCCUUUGUUGGUGUUGUUCAGUGGAUUCAACGCUUGCUAAUCCUCCUCGGAAAAUCUUCCAAUCCCAGAUUUCCCAGGGAUGCUAGGACAUUUACUAGCUCCACCCUUGCUUACUUUUAACUCUGGAACGCAUCGCUUUUCAUCUACAAAUUUUGUAGUGGCUGCACUGCACAUAAGUUCAUCGGAUGUGAAGUUCUCUAGUGAUGAUAUUUCCAGUCAGAUUGGAGUGACCUGUACCUCGCUUUCAUGUAGGAAAUGGAAAUUACAUUCAACUACAAAUGCCAGUAACUUGCACUUGGCGGAUGAAGAGAGGAAAACAUGGGACUCAUGUAAGCAAGCUCUUUCUACAUUUAAUUUUAAUAUCAAAGAGGAAGAUAAAAUACUGGGAAAAGCAUUUGGGUUUGUCCAUUCACCAUAUUGGGGUGAAGAUCGCAAUAAAGAGGUACCUGAAUAUGAUGUUGUAAAUGGUAUCUUAAAUUAUCUAAGGAGUUUAAAUCUUUCGGACGAAGAUCUUACAAAGCUACUCAAAAAGUUCCCAGAAGUUCUUGGAUGUAGUCUUGAAGAUGAGAUAAAGAACAACGUGCAGGUCUUGGAGAAGCAGUGGGGAAUUAAAGGGAAGUCUUUACGGAAUCUUCUACUACGAAAUCCGAAAGUAUUGGGUUUUAAUAUUGACUGUAAAGGAGAUUGCAUGGCACAAUGCACUCGUUGUUGGGUUCGAUUCUAGUCCUAUAGUCUAUAUAAAUGUUUUUGUAUCUGUUGAUUAGUAUAUAUUCCAUCUUCUACUAUAAAAGAAAAGCAGUAUGUAUGUUUAACAAUUUAAGUUGAGAAGCGUUGAAUAAUGUAAUACAUAUGCUCCAAAGUACCUUAAAGUUUAUUAGCAGAUGUUGGGUUUUAAGCA